CGGGCUCUAGAGGAAGAACGGAGGCGCCGGGAGCAGACCGUAUUGGAGUUCACACAAUUCAUGUCGACUCUGCCUCAGGAGGCUCAGGAGGCAUAUAAGAGACGGUUUCUGUCGUCACAGGCCGGGACUUCUUCACAAGGUGCAGCCGGGGGUAGUCAUAAUGUGGCUGGGGUUGAGGAUGAGGAUGAUGAUGAUGAUCAGGAGGAUUGAUUGUCCUUAAUAUAACUUUGAAAACAAUUUCUUGUGUUGUAUAAACAAUAUUUAUUAUGUACCCGUCGAGAAACUUUUACUUGCUUUUAUUGAAUUAAAUGUGUGAUAUAUGCGUGAGA